rnacentral:rRNA from 1 species
UACGAAGGGGGCUAGCGUUGCUCGGAAUUACUGGGCGUAAAGGGCGCGUAGGCGGCACUGUUAGUCAGGCGUGAAAUUCCUGGGCUCAACCUGGGGACUGCGCUUGAUACGGCAGAGCUUGAGGAUGGAAGAGGGUCGCGGAAAUCCCAGUGUAGAGGUGAAAUUCGUAGAUAUUGGGAAGAACACCGGUGGCGAAGGCGGCGACCUGGUCCAUUACUGACGCUGAGGCGCGACAGCGUGGGGAGCAAACAGG